rnacentral:rRNA from 1 species
GAUGAACGCUGGCGGCGUGCCUAAUACAUGCAAGUCGAGCGAACAGACGAGGAGCUUGCUCCUCUGACGUUAGCGGCGGACGGGUGAGUAACACGUGGAUAACCUACCUAUAAGACUGGGAUAACUUCGGGAAACCGGAGCUAAUACCGGAUAAUAUAUUGAACCGCAUGGUUCAAUAGUGAAAUACGGUUUUGCUGUCACUUAUAGAUGGAUCCGCGCCGCAUUAGCUAGUUGGUAAGGUAACGGCUUACCAAGGCGACGAUGCGUAGCCGACCUGAGAGGGUGAUCGGCCACACUGGAGCGGAGACACGGUCCAGACUCCUACGGGAGGCAGCAGUAGGGAAUCUUCCGCAAUGGGCGAAAGCCUGACGGAGCAACGCCGCGUGAGUGAUGAAGGUCUUCGGAUCGUAAAACUCUGUUAUGAGGGAAGAACAAAUGUGUAAGUAACUAUGCACGUCUUGACGGUAACUAAUCAGAAAGCCACGGCUAACUACGUG